GUGCUCACUUUGGCAGUACAUAUACUAAAAUUGAAACAAUGCAGAGAAGAUUAGCAUGGCCCCUGCACAAGAAUGACACCCAAAUUCAUGAAGCAUUCCAUAUUUAU